CCGGGUAUAGCGCAGUUGGUAGCGCGCGUGGUUCGGGACCACGAGGCCGUGGGUUCAAAUCCCGCUACUCGGACCA
rnacentral:tRNA from 2 species